rnacentral:rRNA from 1 species
ACACAUGCAAGUCGAGGGGCAGCAUGAAGUUUGCUUGCAAACUUUGAUGGCGACCGGCGCACGGGUGAGUAACGCGUAUCCAACCUUCCCUAUAGUAGAGAAUAGCCCGGCGAAAGUCGGAUUAAUGCUCUAUGUUAUUCAAAGCGGACAUCUAAUUUGAAUCAAAGGUUCACCGCUAUAGGAUGGGGAUGCGUCUGAUUAGCUUGAUGGCGGGGUAACGGCCCACCAUGGCGACGAUCAGUAGGGGUUCUGAGAGGAAGGUCCCCCACAUUGGAACUGAGACACGGUCCAAACUCCUACGGGAGGCAGCAGUGAGGAAUAUUGGUCAAUGGGCGAGAGCCUGAACCAGCCAAGUAGCGUGCAGGAUGACGGCCCUAUGGGUUGUAAACUGCUUUUAUGCGGGGAUAAAGUCGGCUACGCGUAGCCGUUUGUAGGUACCGCAUGAAUAAGGACCGGCUAAUUCCGUGCCAGCAGCCGCGGUAAUACGGAAGGUCCGGGCGUUAUCCGGAUUUAUUGGGUUUAAGGGGAGCGCAGGCCGGAGGUCAAGCGUGACGUGAAAUGUAGGGGCUCAACCUUUGAAUUGCGUCGCGAACUGGUUUCCUUGAGUGAGUACGACGUCAGCGGAAUUCGUGGUGUAGCGGUGAAAUGCUUAGAUAUCACGGAGAACCCCGAUUGCGAAGGCAGCUGACGAGUCCUUUACUGACGCUAAAGCUCGAAGGUGCGGGUAUCGAACAGGAUUAGAUACCCUGGUAGUCCGCACGGUAAACGAUGGAUGCCCGCUGUUUGCGAUAUAUUGUAAGCGGCCAAGCGAAAGCGUUAAGCAUCUCACCUGGGGAGUACGCCGGCAACGGUGAAACUCAAAGGAAUUGACGGGGGCCCGCACAAGCGGAGGAGCAUGUGGUUUAAUUCGAUGAUACGCGAGGAACCUUACCCGGGCUUGAACUGCAGGAGAACGAUCCAGAGAUGGUGAGGCCCUUCGGGGCUCCUGUGGAGGUGCUGCAUGGUUGUCGUCAGCUCGUGCCGUGAGGUGUCGGCUUAAGUGCCAUAACGAGCGCAACCCCUUUCGCCAGUUGCCAUCAGGUGAUGCUGGGCACUC